AAGCCCAUCAUAAAAUGAGAUACCAUGAUCAUGAGGUGUGUUCCCGGGGCGAGGCUUAUCCAUCGCACUCCGAUGUGCUCACCCCUGAGAUUCCCCAAACAUAGAAAACCCAGUUGCAUAAUUUGUGGUAGUGGGAAAGGGGUUCAUGCUCUCCCCCGGG